CUCUGUGUCCUAGACAAAAAUAGAGAAAGAGUUAGGCAGAGUUCUGAGCCAGGUUCCAGAGCUGAGCUCAGAGUUAGGGUGAGGAGAGGUUUAGGAAUAGUCGUGCAAGGAAGUUACUUAGCUGAGUGGCCCUUUCCUAGCAGAGCCUGGCUUCUACUAAACCAGGUUGGUGGGGUUGAAAGUUCCAAAGACAUUUCUCAUGUCCUGCUUUGCUCUGCUUCUUACAUUCCUUCUACUUUCCUUCAACAGACACUGAGUGUCUGCCACACGAGACACUUCCAGCACUACAAGCACAGCAUGGAACGGAACAACAGAAACCUUGCCCUCGGGUUCAUCAUCUGGGUGGAGGGGAAGGGGUUUGGCCAACACUGAAGGUAAAGUGUGGGGGUGGGCACAGGAGCGCUUCGAUGGCCGGGGUGAGAGAAUGGCCAGUAAGCCAGGUCCAAGCAGGUGAGGGUCCGCAAGGUCAAGGGCGCUACCAGGCGUGUUCAGGAGGGAGGCCGCGCUCCCCACCCACUUCUCUCUGGGAAGAAGCCAGAGCAGAACAGGACGUGCCCAGAGAUUAAAAAGGGACAUAGACUGAGCAUGGAGGAUGGAGGAAGUUUGUUUCCACAUGUAACGUCUUUUCCUGGACAAACUCAGAGGAAGUCUAUUUCCCCAACACAGGCCAAGGAGCAGGUUGCUCUGAGUUAGAAACUGAGCUUAAAGGACAAACUCAGAGGAAGUCUAUUUCCCCAACACAGGCCAAGGAGCAGGUUGCUCUGAGUUAGAAACUGAGCUUAAAGGCCGGAUACCGGCAGCAGCUGUAGAUUUAACUUUUUAACGCAGCUCUUUGUAUGUAUCCAGAUUUUUGGCUUCUAAGUUCAAGGUGCUGUUUAAGAGACUUCUGCGUGUAUCAAAUACCCAGACGCAUCCUUUCCUACAGGGGGACUGACUCUCACAGGCUCCUACGCACACGGAGCCCAGAGAUGAGGUGUAGCCUGCCAGCGUGUAAUCUCCAUUGACGUAGGAAACAUGAAGUGGCCUUUGGAAGAUGGUUGCUCUUCCCCCCAGGAACCUCCUGACAUGUGAGGAGAUAUGCAUAACUGCCCUGGAAAGUUUUAUCAAGUGCCUUUUGAAGAGGUACGGCAAGGAAGGCCUAAGGAAAGGAUGAGAUUUAAACGGGGGAAACGUGCAUAUGCAUGGAAAAACCAAGCACCGAUUCAUCCAGUCCUGCCCAACACGUGCCAGUGAUGGAGAAACACCUGAUUAUGAGCUGCUCGUGGGGGAGUGAAGCUCUUCAUCAGCUUCCCUAGUCCGUGAUGUGAACACGACUGAGAAGCUAGAAAACGGCAUUAGUGAGGAAAGCCGGACGGGGAUCAGUGUUGACCUUGGAGACGUGGAACGUUUCCAGAUACAUUGCGUGGGAGGAAAUCCACACUCUGGAAAAGGCGACCCGAGGAGCUAAUGGGGGCCCUCUAGCCCUCCCCCCCACCCCAAGAAGAGAGGAAAGAGGACGCUCAGUCCCCCUGGCAGUGACCAUGACGCCCGAGUCCCUGGGCCUCCCAUAAACCUGCUCCAGCCUAAGAGUCUGCCAAGGACUCCGGCGUGAUGCCAGCCCUGAACACCCUCCAGCGUCACGUAAGCGAGCCCUGCUGCACUUACGGAGCUGGCCGUCCAGCGCCUGCCAGCCUCUCCAGGACGCUUCCCCCAAGGCCAGCCAGCAUUCAGCAGACGUGAAUGGCUCAAGGGAGGAAGAUGAGGGCCGAAGAAGUGACCCUUCUGAAUCACAGGUCAGAGCACGUUGUCCAGCUGCCCACAGCCAAGACGUCAAGGAAACGUUCUCUCCCUCCAGUCCCCACUAGCCUUAGGCGGAGGAAUAAGAGAAAGCGGAUGGUUUGGCCCCUGAGAAAGGGAAAUGCCCAGGGGCUGCCGGGGGUAGUAGCCAAGGAAAUAGGAAUGGGAAAGAUUUUGAGAUGCCAAAGGAGCCCUUUCAGAGCCCAGCUAGUUCAUUUUGGCCUUUUCCACGUGUGCCUAAGCCACGGAGCUGAUCGCCUGGCAAGAGGCCCUGGAUCCUCCAGGCUUCAGGUUGGUGGUGCCCUGCCUCUGGAAGGCAGUCCAGGACUUAACUGCACGGGCUUUGGAGUCCAGCGGCUGGGUUUGCAUCCUUCCUCUUCUCUUUCUGAGGAACCUUGAGCAAGAUGCCGUGGGGAGGAUGCAGUGAUGUGAUGCACACGAGGCACUCGGCACGCUGUGCCCCGUUACUGACACUUCACUUCGUAGAUAUCACCAGAGCGGCUGAGCUGCCGGACCCUCCCCAGCGAGGACAGCGGCGGGACAGACACGUCAGCAGGGCGUCAAAUGUUUGUGGCUUCCAGGACCCUGCCAGGACCGCAGGACACGCCUGCAAAGCGCAGUUCCGGGCAAUCGGUGAUGUUGAUGCUCUCAGCCCUGUGGUUCGUCAGAAUCACCCGGAAGGCUUGUUAAAGCAGAUGGCUGCGCCCCGCCGCCCAGAGUCUCUGAUGCGGGCGGUCUGGGUGAAGCGUGAGAAUUGAGUCUCUGCGACGCCCCAGGUGGUGCGGAUGCUCCUGGCCCCGGGGCCACGCUGUGGGAACGCUGUCCUCGAUGACCUGCCCAGUCCCACCCCGGACACGCCAGUGAGACCCCUGAGACAGCGGGGUGACCCCAAAGGGCCCCAGGAGGGUAACAAUGAGGCUGAGAAACCACCAUAAACUGGGACAGAGGGCUGUGGAGAGGGAGCCACUGUGCCUUAAGGGGACAGUGAAGUCGUCUCAUGACCCCGCCUGCAUUUCUGACCUGGGGAGGGGGUCUUCUGGACCAUGUCAGGUGCCGAUAGGAGAGAGGUGCUGUGGGUAGGCACAGGCCAGGCCUGGCUGCCUGAGGGGCUCUCACCCUUGGGAACCAGACCACAAGUGAAGCCUCUCUCUACACACCAGCUAUUUACACUUGGCGCCAUCUGCACAGGGUCUUCUGACAGCACCUUCAUUCUCCUACUCCCCACACCUCGGCAAAAAUGAUACCCUUUUCCUUCCCUGGAAGGAAAAUCCAAUGUGGAUGCUUGCACAGCUGUCAAGACAAAACUUCUCCCUCCUUCCAGAGGAUAAGGCACUCAGGCUAAAAUGAAAGAGGCAGCUCACCUCCUCCAGGAAGUCUGCCCAGAUUGUUCCCUUUGGUUUCCAAAACACAUAGAGAGCAAAGACCAUUCAGUCAACAAAUAUGUGUUAGCAUCUUCUAGGAGCCAGGCCUGAGCUGGCGAUACAGCAAUGAGCAAAGACCACCCACCCUCCCUCACACGGCCAUCUGAUUUCUCUUCCUGGGUCUGCUGCUAUUCCCCAGCCCCAGCUUGUACAGAGCCUUGGCAUAUGGAAGGCCCUCAAACGUCUUCUCAAGAACUCCCUGAGCCCUCCCCGGAUCCUCGUCUCUGUCCCUCUGAGUCAUCCCAAGCAAGAAGAGAGAAAAUAUUGUAAUUUACUAAGUAAAAAUCAAAGGAGGAAGGACAGCACUAGACAUGGGAGAAGCCUCAAGCGAGGCGGCAUCAUCGGGACCCACCCACUCAGCCCACACUAGACAGCCAUGAGUUCACGCACACUCUCGUGUCCGAGUGUGCAAGUGCAGGCGCACAGGUACACACACACACACACAGCAUUCGUGUGACCAUCUCCCCACCUGACAGAAACCGCCAGGACAAAGCUCCUCCCCCAUCCCGGGGAGCGGCACCCCGUCCCACCCCUCCUGUCCCAGCACCAGGCCCUGUCUGGGGAGCUUCAGGUAAGGGAGGAAACACAGCUCCGUGCUGGCCUGGGGACCAUCACAGGGCACUGUGGUCCCCACUCUCAGCCUGACUCCAGGCUCUGUGCUGAGGGGAAUUUAAACCCAGUUUCUUGCUGCUGGGGCUAGGGGAGCCCAUCAACUCCAGUAAGAAAGAAAAAUUUCCUAAAAAGAAAUAAAGUG